rnacentral:rRNA from 1 species
UACGUAGGGGGCAAGCGUUGUUCGGAACGACUGGGCGUAAAGGGUGCGUAGGCGGUGUAGCAAGUUAGAAGUGAAAUACCUAGAGCUUAACUCAGGUGCUGCUUCUAAAACUGCUAUACUUGAGUGCAGUAGAGGAAAGUGGAAUUCCUAGUGUAGCGGUGGAAUGCGUAGAUAUUAGGAGGAACAUCAGUGGCGAAGGCGACUUUCUGGACUGUAACUGACGCUGAGGCACGAAAGUGUGGGGAGCAAACAGG